GACGAACGCUGGCGGCGCGCCUAACACAUGCAAGUCGAACGAGCGAGAGAGAGCUUGCUUUCUCAAGCGAGUGGCGAACGGGUGAGUAACGCGUGAGGAACCUGCCUCAAAGAGGGGGACAACAGUUGGAAACGACGGCUAAUACCGCAUAAGCGCACAGGUCGGCAUCGGCCGGAGGGAAAAGGAGCAAGCCGCUUUGAGGUGGCCUCGCGUCCGAUUAGGUAGUUGGUGUGGUAACGGCCCACCAAGGCGACGAGUGGUAGCCGGACUGAGAGGGUGGACGGCCACAUUGGGACUGCGACACGGCCCAGACUCCUACGGGACGCAGCAGUGGGGAAUAUUGCACAAUGAGGGAAACCCUGAUGCAGCGACGCCGCGUGGAGGAAGAAGGUCUUCGGAUUGUAAACUCCUGUUGUUGAGGAUGAUAAUGACGGUACUCAACAAGGAAGUGACGGCUAACUACGUG
rnacentral:rRNA from 1 species